CCAACACCGGCUCUUACAGCAGUGCUUACCAUACUUGCCUGAGUGCUGGGCGGUGGGACAGUACAGAGGGGAUUUCUCUGGAUUUGUCACCUUCACAGCUUUGAUCGAUUUUAUAUGAGUAAUUUAAGUUCAGUAUGUAAGGACGGUGUGAAUGCAAAUUUAACCUGUUGUUAGAUCUACAGCACAGAGAGUGAUUGAGCAGCCAGAAAGUCCUGACCGCCUUGAGCCUCGCCGUCAGUGUGACGAGACUAGAAAACAGCAGGUCAACGACCUUGUUGUGCUCAGUGAUGUGGUCCCACCCUGGCAGGAAAACAUUCUGCACAACAUCCUGGUGUGUCAACCUCUGCUCUAUUCCUCACAUGGCCCUGAAGGAAAUUGUUCCAGUGUAACAAAGAUGCAAGAGAUGAUAAUAAGAUGGCGUGUUUGUGCUGGCUCCAGCCACUGGGCCCCUUGGCACGCUCCCUGCUGUGUUUUGAAGAGAUCUCGGAAGCUUGAAGGCGUAAACAGGGCGGCCGGUUCGGAGGACUUCAUAAACAAACUUCCCUCAGCGGUAGUAGAUGCGCUGGUCAAACAGCUGCACAGAGUGAAUGACGCACUAUUUUUGUUUCAGUGGAAAAAUUCAACAGCAUCUCCACAAGUUUACCUACACAAGUUAAAAGAAGGUUAAGGACUCACUAAUGAAGUUAUCAGAAUAAAUCAUCCACUGACACCUGUAAAGUGCAUUCUGAUGAAGUAAUAACAGCCAUGGACUCCAUUAGUUCUCGGCUCCUUUGUGCUUUCUUUUAUGAUGGGUUGUAGACUAAUGACUUAUGCAUUAUACAUUGUUUCUUCCUGUAACUGUUUAAUUGGUUUCCCUUUAAGAGGUUUUGUGGACCACUUUGCUCCUACUCCCCCUUCUGCCACCACCUGGAUCGUUUUCCUUGUCCUCUCUCACUCACUCACUCACUCACACAUGCUGCUUUUAAUGUGGUACAAAAAAUCAGAAUGACUUUUAAAUGAAAACCUUUAACUGUAUGCUUAAGUUCUUUGGAGGCUAUUAAGACACCAUGACUCAAGUUUGCUAUAGACUCAUGACAACAUCGAGUGACGAACAAGUCAUGAGUCAACGAGUGUUUUGUGAUCACGGUUUUGAACAAUCAUUUCUCAAUCAGUGAGCUGUCGAGCUGAUGGUAGGUAGAUUGUUACCCUUGUUCUCAUUCUUUAUGCUAAACUAAGCUAACCGGCUGCUGGCAGUUAUUUAAUAUUUAUUGAACAAACAUGGAAAUGGUUUUGACUCGGCAAUAAAAGUGAACAAGAUUAUUUCCUAAUCCUAAAAUGUUUAACUACUCCUUUUAAAACAUCAAAACAAUGAUAUAUUUAAGUAUGUAGUUCAUUAUUGAUCUCAGAAAUUGUAGUUUGACAAAACAAUUCCAACUGGAGGUCCACUUACUAGCUCUCUCAAGAGCUUUAAACCGCAUCACAUCUCCUUCAUGAGUGGGGGGAGUUUGCGCAAUAGAUGGAUCUAUGGACAUACAAGCUUAUUAGCUGUUAAGAUUUCAUCAUAACAAUUUGUUCUCCUAGUAAAGACAGUGUGGCUGAAAGUUUUGAAAUCAGAAAUCUGAGGUAAAUAUUAUUCUCUAAUAAUAUUUACCAUCUUCUCAACAGGCCCCUGAAUACAGCAUACCUCCCUUUCCCCUCCCCACCCUCCAGCAUUAUUCUCUCCCCCCAGCUCCCUCCCUUUCCUGCCGGCCUCUCAGCAGAGGAUGUGUCUGGGAGAGAGUGUGUGUGAGGGAAAAGAGGAAAGCCGUCAGUAGAAUGGAUAUGUGCCCUCUCUCAACGCGUUCGUCUUCUCCUCUUCCUCCUCCUUCUUCUUUUCUGUCUCAUCUCUGCCUUUCUUCACCCUCCUCUGCCACCGUUGCACCCUGGGCACCUUCAGUGCCGUUCCUCUGGGAAAAGGACACUCGUCGGGUGGACGGA
rnacentral:lncRNA from 1 species